CAGCAGACACAUUCCAGCCAAUCAGCAGCAGACCCUCCCUCCCGGACAGCUCACUAAGAAUGCAGCUUCACAAUGAAUGUAAAAUGGAUGCUGUCCAGGAGUUGGGAGGGUCUGGGAGGGAGGGUCUGCUGCUGAUUGGCUGGAAUGUGUCUGCU